rnacentral:rRNA from 1 species
GUGAGGAAUUUUCCGCAAUGGGCGAAAGCCUGACGGAGCAAUGCCGCGUGAAGGAUGAAGGCCUAUGGGUUGUAAACUUCUUUUCUUAGAGAAGAAUAUUGACGGUAUCUGAGGAAUAAGCACCGGCUAACUCCGUGCCAGCAGCCGCGGUAAUACGGAGGGUGCGAGCGUUGUCCGGAUUUAUUGGGUUUAAAGGGUGCGUAGGCUGGAAGGUCAGUCAGCGGUGAAAAGCUGUCGCUUAACGAUAGUCUUGCCGCAGAUACUUCCUUUCUUGGAUGAGGAGGAGGCCACUGGAACGGAUGGUGUAGCGGUGAAAUGCAUAGAUAUCAUCCAGAACACCGAUUGCGAAGGCAGGUGGCUGUACCUUAAUCGACGCUGAUGCACGAAAGCAUGGGGAGCAAACAGGAUUAGAAACCCCGGUAGUCC